rnacentral:rRNA from 1 species
UGGGGAAUUUUGGACAAUGGGGGAAACCCUGAUCCAGCCAUCCCGCGUGUGCGAUGAAGGCCUUCGGGUUGUAAAGCACUUUUGGCAGGAAAGAAACGUCAUGGGUUAAUACCCCGUGAAACUGACGGUACCUGCAGAAUAAGCACCGGCUAACUACGUGCCAGCAGCCGCGGUAAUACGUAGGGUGCAAGCGUUAAUCGGAAUUACUGGGCGUAAAGCGUGCGCAGGCGGUUCGGAAAGAAAGAUGUGAAAUCCCAGAGCUCAACUUUGGAACUGCAUUUUUAACUACCGGGCUAGAGUGUGUCAGAGGGAGGUGGAAUUCCGCGUGUAGCAGUGAAAUGCGUAGAUAUGCGGAGGAACAACGAUGGCGAAGGCAGCCUCCUGGGAUAACACUGACGCUCAUGCACGAAAGCGUGGGGAGCAAACAGG